ACCAGUACUAACAGAAGCUGCAGAAUCAAGUGCUAUUGGUCCUGCUAUUUACACUAAAAUGGGUAACCCCAGUGUGAGUGACGGCGAAGUCCUUUCAAACCCAGAGGUUAAAAUCUUACUUCCUUUCUUACACUCCUUUUCAUCUUUGCUUCGGUGUAAAAUCUGCAUGACUUAUUAUGCCAUUGUUGAACUGCUCUCUGACCUCAUUAACAUUCUUAUCUCCCAGAAAAAAAAAAAUGUUACAAGAGACCUGUCUGGUUAUUAUCUCUGCCACCUAAGACUUAAAGCUUCACUAUAAUUUCCAAAUACAUCUACCUUGAAAUAUCUAAGCUUACGUGUCUCAGCUACUUCCCCAAGUAUGCUGAAUUCUAACGGUAGAGAUUCACUAAACCUAUUUUCUUUUUCACACUUCAUAAUCCCUGGUACAGGAAAUGGCUCAAAGCACUAAAUUCGAUUUGUUUUUCAAAAAACAACAAAGCCAUAAAAUUCUAGAACAGUAACACUUAAUCUUAGGAUAUACAACAGGAUACAGCUACAGAUAAGAGCUCUUGGUUUAUUCCGGUGUUUCAAUAGCUACAGAUGCUGUUGCAAAAUGAGGCAAGAGUGAGUUCUGCCAAGAGCAAUGUCCAUCAUGCAAAAUGCCUACUACCUAGGAGCUUUCAGAAGAAAUAAUCUAGGAAGUGUCAUCACUCCAGGUCACGGUGGCAUUCGUGAAUGGGAAACAAUGUUUGGAAAGUGUGCCAUUUUGACAUCAGUGUGGCUCUGGCAACGUUGGAUGGAUGAGAUGAGUAGGAAUCAGUGUGAAGUCCGCAUUACAACAUGCUUGGAUUCAGUUAUGCCAAUGGUAAUGGAAAGAAAGAGGAAAGAUUUCAGAGAAGUAUGCAAAGAAAAAAAGAAACAAAUUGUCAAUAGAUAGAAGAAAAGAAAAGAUAAAAUCUAAAAAUGUUCUUGAUGUUUCAUGCCUGCGUGAAUGAAAAAAAAGUGCUACUAUUUAGAAGUAUGCAGAUAUCAUUAAGAACAUUUGGGGGCAAAAAG
rnacentral:lncRNA from 1 species